GAAGGGGUAGACCAAAAGUCCCUCGCCCGGAUUAUGAGUCAACAGAUCUAGAAAAGCCCUGUUGACAUCCUGCGCAUACAGAAACAUUACCAUGGGGCUUGCUGCCAACUACACCUUAUAAAAGGCCAUUUCACACGGCGUUCUCCGCUCUUCCACAAGGGAUUAAAAGAUAGGUGCUAUUCCGCACGCGUGAUACCAGUCACAUGGUCAAGAAGCCGAGACCACGGAACGGACAUAAAUAGAAGGAGUCUAAAUAAGUUGUGGGAAGCGCACCCAGUGGCCUGUGGAGGCAGCGAGGAGAAGAUCCUUCUCUAAAUCCUUCUCUAAGGGGCCUAGAACAUCGGGGAACCACACGUGUACCCAUUGUGAUUCAGACAUUUCGGGGAAGAUUAGAUGAUAUUUUUCCCCUUGGGAGUAAGGACCUGCAAUAUCGGAAGGAGAGAGGACAGACAUGAGAGAAUGACAAAGAAGACUCCAGCAUCCUUUCAGGUUCCCUGACCCUCCCUCCCUCUGCCUGGCCCUCUUUGACCUC